rnacentral:rRNA from 1 species
UGAGUACGAGCUGCUACGGCAGCGAAGUGGGUGACGUCAAGCUUCCAAGAAAAGCCCUAUACCCGUUAAGGCAUGAUGGCCUGUACCCGAAACCGACACAGGUGGGGUGGUAGAGAAUACCGAGGGGCGCGAGAUAACUCUCUCUAAGGAACUCGGCAAAAUGGCCCCGUAACUUCGGGAGAAGGGGUGCCACCGCAAGGUGGUCGCAGUGAAGAGGCCCAGGCGACUGUUUACCAAAAACACAGGUCUCCGCUAAGUCGCAAGACGAUGUAUGGGGGCUGACGCCUGCCCAGUGCCGGAAGGUUAAGGAAGCUGGUCAGCGUAAGCGAAGCUAGCGACUGAAGCCCCGGUGAACGGCGGCCGUAACAAUAACGGUCCUAAGGUAGCGAAAUUCCUUGUCGGGUAAGUUCCGACCCGCACGAAAGGCGUAACGAUCUGGGCGCUGUCUCGGAGAGAGGCUCGGCGAAAUAGAAUUGUCUGUGAAGAUGCGGACUACGUGCACCCGGACAGAAAGACCCUAUGAAGCUUUACUGUAGCUUGGUAUUGUGCUCGGGCUCGGAAUGCGCAGGAUAGGUGGGAGGCUAUGAACCAUUGCUUGUGGGUGAUGGUGAGCCACUGGUGAGAUACCACUCUUUCCGAGCUAGAGUUCUAACAGCCACCCGUUAUCCGGGGGCUGGACAGUAUCAGGUGGGCAGUUUGACUGGGGCGGUCGCCUCCUAAAAGGUAACGGAGGCGCGCAAAGGUUUGCUCAGGCUGGUUGGAAAUCAGCCGACGAGUGUAAAAGCAGAAGCAAGCUUGACUGUGAGACCUACAAGUCGAACAGGGAGGAAACUCGGCUUUAGUGAUCCGACGGUUCUGCGUGGAAGGGCCGUCGCUCAACGGAUAAAAGUUACUCUAGGAUAACAGGCUGAUCUCCCCCAAGAGUUCACAUCGACGGGGAGGUUUGGCACCUCGAUGUCGGCUCAUCGCAACCUGGGGCUGAAGUCGGUCCCAAGGGUUGGGCUGUUCGCCCAUUAAAGCGGUACGCGAGCUGGGUUCAGAACGUCGUGAGACAGUUCGGUCCAUAUCCGGUGCAUGCGCAGGAAUAUUGAGAGGAUUUCUCCCUAGUACGAGAGGACCGGGAGGAACGCACCUCUGGUGUACCAGUUAUCGUGCCAACGGUAAACGCUGGGUAGCCAUGUGCGGAGAGGAUAACCGCUGAAAGCAUCUAAGUGGGAAGCCCACCUCAAGAUGAGUAUUCCCAUGGGUUAACCCAGUAAGGUCACGGGAAGAACACCCGUUGAUAGGCUCUACGUGGAAGCGCAGUAAUGUGUGAAGCGGAGGAGUACUAAUAGACCGAGGGCUUGACC